UACAGAGGUCUCAAGCGUUGUUCGGAUUCAUUGGGCGUAAAGGGUGUGUAGGUGGCGCUGUAAGUGGGGUGUGAAAUCUCGGGGCUUAACUCCGAAACUGCAUUCCAUACUGCGGUGCUUGAGGACUGGAGAGGAGACUGGAAUUUACGGUGUAGCGGUGAAAUGCGUAGAUAUCGUAAGGAAGACCAGUGGCGAAGGCGGGUCUCUGGACAGUUCCUGACGCUGAGGCACGAAGGCCAGGGGAGCAAACGGGG
rnacentral:rRNA from 1 species